UGGCAGACGGGUGAGUAAUGUAUAGGAAUCUACCUAGUAGUACGGAAUAAUUGUUGGAAACGGCAACUAAUACCGUAUACGCCCUACGGGGGAAAAAUUUAUUGCUAUUAGAUGAGCCUAUAUUAGAUUAGUUAGUUGGUGAGGUAAAGGCUUACCAAGACAAUGAUCUAUAGCUGAUCUGAGAGGAUGAUCAGCCACACUGGAACUGAGAUACGGUCCAGACUCCUACGGGAGGCAGCAGUGGGGAAUAUUGGACAAUGGGCGAAAGCCUGAUCCAGCCAUGCCGCAUGAGUGAAGAAGGCCUUCGGGUUGUAAAGCUCUUUUAGUGAGGAAGAUAAUGACGGUACUCACAGAAGAAGUCCUGGCUAACUCCGUGCCAGCAGCCGCGGUAAUACGGAGAGGGCUAGCGUUAUUCGGAAUCAUUGGGCGUAAAGGGCGCGUAGGCGGGUUAGUAAGUUAAAAGUGAAAUCCCAAGGCUCAACCUUGGAACUGCUUUUAAAACUGCUAGUCUAGAGAUUGAAAGAGGAUAGAGGAAUUCCUAGUGUAGAGAUGAAAUUCGUAAAUAUUAGGAGGAACACCAGUGGCGAANGCGUCUAUCUGGUUCAAAUCUGACGCUGAGGCGCGAAGGCGUGGGGAGCAAACAGGAUUAGAUACCCUGGUAGUCCACGCUGUAAACGAUGAAUGUUAAAUAUGGGAAGUUUACUUUCUGUAUUAUAGCUNACGCGUUAAACAUUCCGCCUGGGGNCUA
rnacentral:rRNA from 2 species